UCGACGAGAAUGUUGUCCGCCUGUCCGUUGUUUCGGUUGGUUGUGAACUUUUUGUCCUCGCCUCAUCUCCCGGCGAUCUGAUCUCCUCCGCUCGGGAUGGUCACUUGCCGUGCUCCAUAGGUCGAUCUUGCACCUGGACUUUCGUAGGCAAGCCUUCACUAUCCGGCGCGCUCUGGGUUGAUGGAUUCCGGCGACAGCGUCGAUGGGAGCCCGGACGAGCCAAAGACUCCCAACAGGGGUAGAUCGAAGAAGACUAAGAAGGAAACUGAAAGCGUAUUGAAGCAGAAAUCGCCUGCUGAGUUCUUCGCUGAGAACAAGAACAUAGCUGGAUUUGACAAUGUAAGCUGUAACAGUAGCUGCAUCCAUUCCGUUAUUUCUUUUGACGUAUUAUUUUUGCCUUUUAUUUCUGAUGGACAGUUUAUUUUUGAUCAACUUACAAGUUUUUUUAUCAAGUGAACAUCUUUUUCCCCCACCAGCCUGGGAAAUCAUUAUACACUACUAUUCGAGAACUUGUGGAAAAUGCUCUUGACUCUGCUGAGGCAAUUUCUCAGCUUCCAGAUAUUGAGUUAGUAAUUUGUCGUGAGUUUUGUUUUACAGGAUAAUGGGAGAGGAAUGCCACAUGAUGAGAUACCAAACAUGUUUGGAAGAGUUCUUUCUGGUACAAAGUAUGGUUUGAAACAAACUCGUGGGAAAUUUGGACUUGGUGCAAAAAUGGUACCUUGGCUUCUUUUGCAUCACUCUUUCACAUUGUAGAGCAUGAUGUGAACCUGGGUUAUGGAGGAAACAUGCUGGAUUAUCUGGAUCAUGGGAAACAAGCCUAAAACAUGAAUUGUAUAUUUCAGGGGCUAAAACACAAAAGGGGAAUUAGGCAAUUUAUAUUGUAGAGUUAGUUAUAUCUUCAUGAUAGUUAUGUUUUCAUGUUUUAGAGUAUGUGUGUGUGGUUAUAAGUUGGUGGGAAGUUAGUGGGGAAGGGAUUUAAGAAUUAUUAUCAAAAGAGAUUAUGGUCUUUGGCGGGUGGAGAGAGUUUCUCUAUCAGAUUUGAGUGCUUUUGUUGUACUGCUUUUGUUAACUCUAAUACAAUUUGGUGUGUUUCUUUAUUCUGAGUUUUGGAACCCUAACAUUGGGGAAGGGAUUUAAGAAUUAUUAUCAAAAGAGAUUAUGGUCUUUGGCAGGUGGAGAGAGUUUCUCUAUCAGAUUUGAGUGCUUUUGUUGUACUGCUUUUGUUAACUCUAAUACAAUUCGGUGUGUUUCUUUAUUCUGAGUUUUGGAACCCUAAUAUUGGUUCAACCUGCCGGAUGUAAGAGAGAUUGUAUGCUUAGAAGGAAUGCUAAAUAUGUCAGAUAGGGUUAAUGUUUUGGAAGAGUGGGUCGACGCAAGAAGGAAGUUUGGAGGAAAUCAGAAGUAUUAUGCAACGAUUGAUGUCUGAAGUACAACAACAUGGUUCUCUUUUAUAAGAGAUCAACAAGCAAUUUAGGUACAAGGGUUGAAGCAACACCAUUGAAAGGGGCAUUCAUUUCUGCUGAUUAGUCAUCUCAAUCUGAGCCUCAAGAACAUAAAAGUGAUCAAUUGGAGGAGUACAAGAUGUCUAUUAAGAAAGUAGAAUUACCAAUGGUGGAUGGUUGGGAUCCAGUGGCAUGGAUUACUAGGGCUGAAAUUUAUUUGGAAGUCCAGAAUUCUUCUGAUGAAGUUAAGGUCAAGUUGGCACAUGUAAGUAUGGAAGACUAUUAUUCAUUGGUUUAAUCUUAUUAAGGAGACCAAAGUUAAUCUAAUUUAGGAAAAACUUAAACGCACUCAUUGCUCGUUAUGGAAGGUGUGCACAUGAAAAUCCUUUUGAAGAGUGGGCAGCUUUAAAACAAAUUGGAAAUGUGGAAGAAUUUAUUGAAGCCUUUGAGUUGAUUAAUUUACAAGUUCCAUGUCUAUUAGAAGAGUAGUAUGUUGACUAUUUCAUGAGUGGAUUAUAACCUCAUAUCGAACGCUAAGUCCAUUGUCUAGAGUGCAAUUAGUGUGCAUGGCAAAGGAUGUUGAAGAGGAAUUGUUAGAGGAAGGGGGGAUUUCACAAAAGACAUUUGGGAAGGAGAAGUUAUGGAGCAAUUUUGGCUAUGGCAGUGCUGGUUUGGGCAAUUUUCGGCCAUAUGUUGGGAAUAAUUCAAUUCAAAAGAAAUUGGGUCAAUCUUUUCAAAUGGACAAAACUAGUACAACAACAGGAUGGUGUUCCAACAAGAUUCGUGACUCUAAGGAAGCUAGUAACGCAGGUUCUGCAUCAAAUAGAAAUCUUUCUUUCUCCCAAGCCUCCGCUGCACGAAAAGGAGAAGGAGAUAAGCAAGGGUUCAUGGAAAAAUUCAUAGGAAUUCAUUCCAUUUCUUACCCAAAAUUAUUGGAAAGAAGGGCCAAGGAAUUAUGCUUCAAAUGUGGUGAAAAAUUCUACCCACUUCACCAAUGUGCAGAAAAACAAUUGAAGUUAUUAGUGUUAGAAUAAAAUGAAAAAUUAAAUUUAGAUGGAGAGAUAAUGGGUCUUGAGGCAGAGACUUUAGAAGAUGAGGAGUUGGAGUGUAAAUUUAUAAGAUUAUUGGUAUGAAUUCAGAGAGUAUAAAUGCCAACAGAACCAUGAAAUUAAAAGGCAAAUUAAUGGGAAUUGAUAUUGUGGUGCUUAUAGAUAGCGGAGCCAACCACAAUUUAUUUCUCCUCAAUUAACUGUAGCUAUCGUAUUGAAGGUGCAAGAAAUAAGGAAAUUGGGAAUUAAACUUGGUGAUGAGUAUAAAGUGUUUACUAAAGGUAAGUGCCCCGAGUUAUAGAUUCGCUUGGGAACUUUUGAGUUGAAAACAAAGACAUGUAUUAGAAUUGGGAGGUGUAGAUGUAGUCUUGGGAGUUUCUUGGUUGAAAACAUUGGGGAAAGUUGUAAUGGAUUGGAAGGAGAUGAUCAUGCAGUUCCAUCAUGAAGAUAUUUUAGUCACUCUACAAGGUAAGUUUGAGGUAGUGAAGAAGAGUAAACAAACAGAAAAAAGGGGGGCAGAAUCAUGCUCCCUAUAUUGCCUUUUGCAAGGGCAUUCUCUUACUAUUGAUGAAUUUUUAUGGGCAGCAGAGGGAGUUCCUUCUUGAACAAUAUUACCACUAGAAUCAGAAUUGAAUGCAUCACAAAAACUGGAAUUAUCACUAGAAAGAUUUAUUACAGUUUUCAAAAAGAAAAUAGGUUGUCAUCUAAGUGAAGUCAACAACAUGCUAUAGUGUUGCAAGAAGGGCAGAUUCCUAUUUGUGUGCAUCCAUAUCGUUACCCACAUCAUCAAAAGGAGGAAAUCGAAAGACAGGUUCAAGAAAUGUUGCAAUCGAGAUUUAUUCGGCCUAGAGUAAGUUCUUUCUCUAAUCUUGUUUUAUUGGUUAAAAAAAAGAUUUAUCAUGGAGAAUGUGUGUUGAUUAUAGAGCAUUAAAUAAUGUCACAAUUCUAGAUAAGUAUCCUAUCCCUGUGGUAGCUGAAUUACUUGAUGAGUUAUUUGGAACUAUGAUUUUUUCAAAAAUUGACUUGAAAUCAGGGCAUCAUCAUAUUAGAGUAAAAGAGGAAGGUAUUUAUAAGACUGCAUUUCACACUCACAAUAUACAUUAUGAAUUUUUAGUUAUGCCUUUUGGGCUCACUAAUGCCUUGCAACCUUUCAAGUAGUAAUGAUUUAUAUAAACCGUUCCUUCUUUGUAAGUUUGUAUUGUUUUUUUUUAUGAUAUUUUAGUGUACAAUUCUGAUUGGCCUACACAUUUGUUUCAUCUUUCUAUGGUGUUGGAAGUUCUUAAGAAUCAAUUUGUGGCUAACUCCAAGAAGUAUAGUUUUGACACCACAAUAGUGGAAUAUUUGGCUGUUUCAGUUGAUCAUUCUAAAAUUUGAUGUGUUUUGGAUUGGCUUAUUCCAAAGAAUGUCAAAAAGUAAGAGGUUUUUUUUUUUAAUUUAACAUGUUAGUAUCAGAAAUUUAUAGAAAAUUAUAGUAAAGUAGCUAAGCCUUUUGACAAAAUUGACUCAGAAGGAUAAUUUUAACUGGAGAUCAAAUUCUCUAGUCUUUCUUGGAACUCAAAAGAUUCUUGAUUAGUCCACAGUUGUUGCACUUCUAGAUUUUUCCAAGCUUUUUGAGAUUUGAGUGUGACACCUCUGGAAGAGGAAUUGGCGCUAUAUUUUAAUGCAGAAUAGAAGACCAAUAACUUAUUUUUGUAAAACUUUAUCAGAAGUAAUCGAGAAAUCGGUCGCUCUUCGCUCCGAAUAGGUACUUAUUUGGGUUAAGCUUGAUUUUAUACAUCCUCAAGGUUUUGCAGGUUUCUUCGACGUCUGCACAAAAGUUAGUGACUCAAAGAGAUUGUAUUAAUAUGGCAUUGAUAAUAUCUCUAUAUUGCGGUCGAUCUGUCGUCAGAACAUCUUGUUCAUCAGCCUUUGGUAAGUGGCACCGAAGUUCUUUAAUCCGAGCGGCAUGACAUUGUAGCAGUAGGCUCCGUCGGUCGUAAUGAAGUUGACCUUCUCUUAGUCUUCCUUGGCGAGCGACACUUGAUGGUAGCUCUGGUAUGCAUCAAGCAUGUAGAUCAGUUCGCAACCAGUCAUAGAAUCCACCAUUUGAUCAAUACGCGACAGGAGAGAAAUCUUUUGGGCAAACCUUGUUCAAGUCACAGAAGUCGAUGCAUACCCGCCAUUUGUUGCCCGGCUUGGACACUAGCACAACGUUGGCCAGCUAGCUCGGAAAUUGAACUUCAUAGAUGUUGCCGGCCUCUAACAAUUUUUCUAUUUUCGCACGGAUGAUUUGAUUAUGCUCCGAGUUGAAGUCCUUUUUUCUAUGUUUCACCGGUUGGGCCUCUGAUCGGACGUGAAGCUCAUGCUAUGGCACACUCGGUGAGAUGUUCCGGAGCUUGUGAGUCGACCAGGCGAACACAUCAUGAUUGUGCCUAAGGUAAGACACCAGCUCGACCUUCCUCUCAUUUGUAAGGUCAGUCACGACAAAAGUUGUAGCUUCUGGUCGGCUAGGAUGGAUUUGGACCUCCUCCUUUUCAUCAUAGACCAGUGUAGGAGGCUCCUCGAUGAUUGUGUUUAACUCCAAAUGCUAAGCCUUCCGAGCGGCACAGACCUCGGUCUUAACCAUCUCCAUGUAGUACCGCCUAGCGGCCAGUUGAUUGCCCUUGACUUUGCCAACCUCGUUGUCCACUGGGAACUUAACCUUCUGACAAAAGGUGGACACUACCGCUUGGACAAAUAUAACAUUGUAGGCGGACAACGCAUCCACCAUAAUUAAGUUCAUGGUCCUGGUCCUCUUGAGCGGCUCUUCUCCAAGGCAUAUAGCCAACCUAGCCUGGCUGGUCGACAACACUUCAUUGUCAGUGAACCCGUAUAAGGGAGUUGGCAUGGCUACAAUUCGCUCUGGUCGAUUGGCAGCUGAUCAAAUGCCUUUUUGAAGAUGAUAUUCAUCGAGCUACCUAUAUCUACAAAAGUUCGGUGAAUGUUGUAGUUAACGAUUACCGCUUUGAUGAUUAGGGUAUCAUCGUGAGGGACCUCCCCUCCCUCUAAGUCUCAAGGAUCGAAAUUGAUCUCUAGUCCCUCUGUUGCUACUCUACUGCACCCGACGACGUGGAUCUCAAGGCGUUGCGCGUGUGACUUCUUGGCUCAAUUGGAAUUGCCAUCGGUCGAAUCUCCUGUGAUCAUUCCAAUAUCGCCCAGGGCGGUGUUGUGGCGAUUCUCCUCCUCCCAAGCCGAGGGUCGCGGAUGCUCAGUUGAUGCUCUUUGGCCUUGUGCCGGCUACUGCCCUCUCGAUCGUCGGUGAUGGUGUCGAUCAGGGGAUGGCGAUUGGCGAUGCGACCUUGGUGAUGCCGCUCGACGGGGCUUCAGCGUGAGACUAUAAUAGUCUUUGGUGUUGUGUGUCGCCACCUAGUGGAACGAGCAGAAGAGUGACGUCCAUUGAUGUCUCUCGAUGGAUCUUCCUCGCUUGGCUUCCACAUGUCGCACCGCGUGUGUACGAGCCUUUUGCUGUGUCGCUCCUACUCGAGGUCCCUUUGGUGGUGGGUUCGCAUGGGCCAUUCAGCACUCUCGAACGGCUGAUGGAUCGAGGAUUUGUUGCUUCUUCCUAGUUGUCUGGGCCUCCUUUACGUUGACGUACUCGGUAGCUCGCUCGAGUAGAUAAUUGAAGUCACGUGGAGGCCUCCAAAUGAGUGACCAAAAGAACUCAUCCUCUAGAAGCCCUUGUGAAAACACAUUCAUAAGGAUCUCUGGAGUGGCUGAUGAGACUUCCAUAACUAUUUGAUUGAAUCUUUUGAUGCAGGCCCGCAGGGUUUUCUUGGACCCUUGCUUGAUCGCGAAUAGGCUAACAUUUGUCCUCUGGAAACGGUGAUUGCUCACGAAUUGUUGUAAAAAUACUACUCGGAAGUCUUUAAAACUACUUAUAGAUCCGAUCGACAGUCACCUAAACCACUUUUAAGUUGAUCUGAAGUGUGUAGUCAGAAACACUCGGUAUUUGACCCCCAUCGGAGUACUGAUGGAGCGUGACCACGUUGUCGAAUUUGAUGAGGUGAUCCUCAAGAUCAGUGUAUUCUCCGAUGGUUGGCGGUAUGUAGUAUCGCGACAGCCGAUCGUCCAAGAUUUCUUGAGAAAAUUGCAUGUUUAUUCGCUCGGGUGAAUCGUCAAGCCUCGAUGCUUUACCCUUGCGCACAUCUCGAGCGGGCGCUUCCUCCGAUGAUGAUCCUUGGGCCUUAUUUGCUCGGCCUCGUUCUUCUGAGGGGGUGCGGAAUAAUGCUCAGUGGUAAGGGAGCGACGCAUUCUGUGCUUCUCCAAAUGUGUCAAUCGGCCCGUUGCUAGGCCGACGGACGACGGGGUUUUUUACUCAGCCUCUAUGAUUGGCUUGUUGUCUUAUCGCAUACGUUGUGGGUUCAUUUGCUUGAUAAUCAACUAUCACCUGUUGUUGCUGCUCCAACAUAUUCGUCGCUUGUGCUUGCACCAGCAUCUCGAACUCCUCUUGCGUCAAUAUUACUGUGGUGAGUCGUCCAACGCUCUCCGUCUUUACAUCCUGACUUUAGGUAGCUAUUCCCAUAGACGGCGCCAGAUAUAAUCCUAUAUGGAAAUAACAUAGAUGGCAAGCUGGGGAUGUGGCUUCGGUGUUGACGCAGUGAAGACUUCAUAUGUUCCUGCAGCACAAAAAUGUCAGUGCCGAGCCGAGAAAGGAUUCCCGGCGUUGGCCUUCCGACGCUUAAGUCAGUUUUCGGCGAUCUUAAGUAGUAUGGAACUAUAGCUAAGAGAUGUAGAAAACCAAAUUGCGCAUACCUUUUCUUGUAGCUAGGAAUCCCAUUUUAUACUGUCAACCUAGUACUCGUGCACACAUCUCAAGGCAUAUGCACAUUUUCCUAGGUUUCCUAGGAAGAGACAGGUUGAAAAGUAUCUCUGACGACAUUCUUUAAGCAGUAACGCAAUCCUAUGACGUGACAGCUUGGAAGCUUCGAAAGUACAAUUGCCUGCUGGACAUGGCCUGUUGGCAACAACACAAACUCCCAAAGGAAUAUGACAAGAUACUUGAUUGGGUCAUGCACAGCCGAUUGGGAUCCAUUAGGUUGGUCUGCUUUCGCUCAACAUUGCCCUAAGUGCUUGUCGAGUUGACUCUUUCCUUACUUCCUGAUUAUCCGUGGUUAUCCUGCUCUGACUAGACGUAAAGCCCGAUUGGCAAGACCAACUACUACUUCUCUUUGUCAUCUAAGGGUCAUUUACCCAAUCGGAGAGAGUCUGACUUCUUGUUUUCAACGUUGGUAUCAUUCGCUCGGUCGUACAUCACUCAGCCGUUCAUGGUCCGCUCGACCAUACAUGGUCCACUCGAUCGACUUGGAUACCUCCCGGAGUUUGUCUUUCACAUCCGCCAAUUUUCCUGACUUUGACCUAUCUUUGGUAGGGCCGCUUAUUAUUACCAUAUCAAUGAGCUUGAGCUUGAUUCGUUUAGACGUUAUCGAAAUCUCAAUUUGAUUGUUUGAAACUUUUACAUUUUAAGUUUGUUAGAUUAAUUAUUGAGUUUGAUAAUAUAAAUUUAUUUAUUUGUUUUAAAAGUUUCAUUAUUUAAUUAAUAUAUUGAUAAGAGUUUUAUUCAUGAGCAUGAUUUAUAAAUAUUAUUGAUAAACAUUAUUCAUGAAUAUUGUUCACAAACGAAAGUUAAUAAGUUAAAUACAUGUGUUCAAGCUUAUUCGUUUAGUUAAAUAAGUUGUUCAAAUAUAUUUAUUUAAUUAAUUUUAUAUAUAUUAAAUAAAUAUAAACAAAUUCUUACCAAUUAAAUACCAAACUUAUUCAUAAUCAUUCAAUUGAUUUACAGUUAAGUUCUACCCGUUCUCGAUUGCUUGGCUUAAGUAGUAAUAAUCUUGCUACAUCGAGGUGAACUCAGCGUAUUUUUUUUAAAAAAAAAUUACCCUUGAUAAUUUAAAAUUUUAUAUUAAUGAUAAAUUUAUAUUUAACUAAUUUCAUGAUAAAUAGAUUAUAUCAUUUUCAGGGAUGGAUCUAGGAUUUUAAGUUGGAGGCCGUAUAUUAAGUGACGAAAAUAUUUAUUAAAUGUAUUAUAUAAUAAUGACCUCUUCAAACUUUCAAAAUACAUAAUGUAUAUUUAGUUAAAAUGUGAAAAAAUAAAGAAGGAAAAAAACUUAAAUUUAGUCCUACAAAUAUUUGAACUCAAGAGAUGUGUUAAAAUAAAAAUAAAACUUACUAUUACACAAACUAUACAUAUCUUUUAAAUUAGGGUAAAAUAAUAUAUGUAUUAAUAAAAUUUUAAAAUACUUUUCUAUAAAAUUAUGUUAUUAAAAAAUUUUGGGGGUCAUGGUCUCCUCAUGUCCUAAUGUAGAUCUGCCCUGAUCAUUUUAGAUUAUCUUUUUAAAAAAUAUUUCGAAAGUAAUUAAAAUCAGGAAAUAGAAGAAAUUUCAAAAUCAAUUAGUUUUUAACAGGUAAUUCACAUAAUUCUGUGGAGUUCAGAUAACGGAUUUCCACGUGACUCAAUCAAAAUCUCAAUUGACACGUACCAACGGCCCAACAUGAUCCUAAAAUUUUAAUUCACACGUCUCUUUUUUUUUUUUCUUGUUUUGUUUUUCCUUUGUCGACCCCUCCGGCCGUGGCAAGGGAGGCAAGGGGCUCGGCAAAGCGGCACCUCAAGGUCCUCCGUGACAACAUUCAGGCAUUACGAAGCAGGCGAGACGGCGCCAGCCAUGGCGGCGACAAGCACAUCAGCGGACUCAUCUACGAGAAAACCCGCGGCGUCCUCAAGAUCUUCCUCGAGAAGAACGUCAUACACCUACACUGAGCACUCCCCGCCGCAAGACUGCACUCUCUAUGGCUUCGGCGGCUGAGCCAACUUCUGCGAAACUCUAAGCUGAACAAGGAGGUCAGCACACAAAUCAAGAAAUUGAAGCUGAGGGCCGCUCACCCUCAUCAAAUCCAGAAGGUACUUCUCUUCCAAGGUCUUGUAAAGCUGCAAAACGCGUAUAUAAAGACACAUGAUUGAUCUAUCCUCUAUCCUCUGGUAA